AUUGAACGCUGGCGGCAUGCCUUACACAUGCAAGUCGAACGGUAACAGGUCUUCGGAUGCUGACGAGUGGCGAACGGGUGAGUAAUACAUCGGAACGUGCCCGAUCGUGGGGGAUAACGAGGCUACAGCUUUGCUAAUACCGCAUAAGAUCUACGGAUGAAAGCAGGGGACCGCACGGCCUUGCGCGAACGGAGCGGCCGGUGGCAGAUUAGGUAGUUGGUGGGAUAAAAGCUUACCAAGCCGACGAUCUGUAGCUGGGCUGAGAGGACGACCAGCCACACUGGGACUGAGACACGGCCCAGACUCCUACGGGAGGCAGCAGUGGGGAAUUUUGGACAAUGGGCGAAAGCCUGAUCCAGCCAUGCCGCGUGCAGGAUGAAGGCCUUCGGGUUGUAAACUGCUUUUGUACGGAACGAAAAGACUCUGGUUAAUACCUGGGGUCCAUGACGGUACCGUAAGAAUAAGCACCGGCUAACUACGUGCCAGCAGCCGCAGUAACAC
rnacentral:rRNA from 1 species